GAGCCCGUGGCUCAAUAGUAGAGCCUUUGACUCAAAUGCAAAAGGCGCGGGUUCGAAUCCCAGGUUUU
rnacentral:tRNA from 1 species